rnacentral:rRNA from 1 species
AUUGAACGCUAGCGGGAUGCUUUACACAUGCAAGUCGAACGAGUGGCGGACGGGUGUGUAAUAUAUCGGAACGUGCGCAGGAGCGGGGGAUAAAUACUCGAAAGAGUGGCUAAUACCGCAUACCAUUGGUGUGGCCGAAAUCGGAUUAGCUAUUGGGUGGGGUAAAGGCCCACUAAGGCAACGAUCCGUAGCUGGUUUGAGAGGACGACAAGCCACACUGGGACUGAGACACGGCCCAGACUCCUACGGGAGGCAGCAGUGGGGAAUUUUGGACAAUGGGGGAAACCCUGAUCCAGCCAUCCCGCGUGUAUGAGAAGGCCUUCGGGUUGUAAAGUACUUUUGGCAGAGAAGCGGUAUCUGCAGAAUAAGCACCGGCUAACUACGUGCCAGCAGCCGCGGUAAUAC